UCUGGGCUGCAAUAAGCUCAAAAACAUUUUGUUCUGCCCAGCAUUUUGAUUGCCUGAUCCUGCUUUCUUUGUAUUUGCAGUUUUUAAAACUUAAUAAUUAACCUUGGUGUAUUUAUUGUUUUAAGUACAUACCACCCUGGUAUCUAUAAGGAUGUAGAAUGUAUUAAAAUAUUUUUUAAAAAGUUAAUUACUAGAGGCAUUCAAAAAGAAACUGGACAGCCAUCUGAGUGGGGUGGUGUAACUUGGUGUCCUGCAACAACAGAGGGUUGGACUCGAUGGCCUUCAUGGCCCUUUCCAGAUCUAUGAUUCUAUGAUUGAAAUGUUGGUGACUGGGCGGUAUCUUUCACCACACCCAUAGGUGGUAGUCUACAUUAAGGAAAUGUAGGGUAGUCUGUGUGAUGCAUAUCCACAGUUCUUUUCUCCAGCAUCUUGCCCUUAGGGUUCCAGGUCCCUCAGCAUUUGCCUCCUCACCCUGCCAAAUGGUGAGGCUGGCCCUGUGACAUCUGAACAGCUGAGCCAGAGCUAUGAAGUGGAACAGCAUCAUAGCAGUUCAUGUGGUCAGAUGCUGUGUGAGAACUGAAAAUGGCACAGCUGAUUUUUUCAUGAUUGAUACUGGUGUCAGACGGGGCUGUAUAUUAUCCCCAUUUUUAUUUUUUGAUCAUUAUGGAUUAUACCAUGAAAAAAGGAAUGAAAAACUCAGACUUCCUCAUCCUGUGGAAAAGAACAAGGCAAUUUGACCGACUUGGAUUUUGCUGAUGACAUUACUUUACUUGCAAAUACUGUAGCGCAGCUGAGAGACAUGACACGUGCACUUGAAACAGAGGUGAUGAGGUGAGGAAGACCAAAAAAGACCUGGCGUCAAACAUGAAUGACCUAAAUAUCAAUCCUGAAUGGCAGGAUAAAGACACUGUUGCUGCGGACCAACCACUAUGGAAGACACUUGUAGCCCGAUUUGCCUUGCACAGGACGUAAAGAAGAAGAAGAAAAGCAGAGUGCCCCUUGCAACACUGCCCAGCAAGUUUUAUGUUUAUUUUAAUUGCACAGCCAAAUGUGCAGGAAAAAAAAGAAAGAAACAGAAGCACAGUGUGGUCUGAAGCACAACAGGGAGGAUGGGGCAGGUGAUCCGGCACUCCUGCUUCAGAAGAGACCUUUGUAACAGGAGGCAAGUACACCUGACUCACUCUGUACUCUUGCACUUUUCUUGGAGCAGCCCUGCUGAGCCAAAUGCCAACUAGAGUUCUCACGCAGGAGGCAGUAAGAGCAAGCCGCUUGGCAGUGCUGACCUGUUCUUAGGGCAGCUGCAGUGAACAAGUUGCCGGUUUCCACCUCCUGCCUCAGAGCUGUACUCCCAGGCAGAAAGCAGGAGGGAUGGGUCCUUGAUUAGUCUGGCAGAGCUU